rnacentral:rRNA from 1 species
GAUGAACGCUAGCGGGAGGCCUAACACAUGCAAGCCGAGUGGUAUUGUUUCUUCGGAAAUGAGAGAGCGGCGUACGGGUGCGUAACACGUGUGCAACCUGCCUUUAUCUGGGGGAUAGCCUUUCGAAAGGAAGAUUAAUACUCCAUAAUAUAUUGAACGGCAUCGUUUAAUAUUGAAAGCUCCGGCGGAUAGAGAUGGGCACGCGCAAGAUUAGCUAGUUGGUGAGGUAACGGCUCACCAAGGCGAUGAUCUUUAGGGGGCCUGAGAGGGUGAUCCCCCACACUGGUACUGAGACACGGACCAGACUCCUACGGGAGGCAGCAGUGAGGAAUAUUGGUCAAUGGGUGCAAGCCUGAACCAGCCAUCCCGCGUGAAGGACGACUGCCCUAUGGGUUGUAAACUUCUUUUGUAUAGGGAUAAACCUACCCUCGAGAGGGUAGCUGAAGGUACUAUACGAAUAAGCACCGGCUAACUCCGUGCCAGCAGCCGCCGUAA